rnacentral:rRNA from 1 species
AGAUUGAACGCUGGCGGCAUGCCUAACACAUGCAAGUCGAACGGGAGUAGCAAUACUCUAGUGGCGGACGGGUGAGGAAUACGUAGGAAUUUGCCCUUAAGUGGGGGAUAACCCGGGGAAACCCGGAUUAAUACCGCAUGACCUCGAAAGAGCAAAGUGGGGGAUCGCAAGACCUCACGCUUUUGGAGAAGCCUACGUCGGAUUAGCUAGUUGGUGAGGUAAUGGCUCACCAAGGCGACGAUCCGUAACUGGUCUGAGAGGAUGACCAGUCACACCGGAACUGAGACACGGUCCGGACUCCUACGGGAGGCAGCAGUGGGGAAUAUUGGACAAUGGGCGAAAGCCUGAUCCAGCAAUGCCGCGUGAGUGAUGAAGGCCUUAGGGUUGUAAAGCUCUUUACCCGAGAUGAUAAUGACAGUAUCGGGAGAAUAAGCCCCGGC